UACGUAGGGGGCAAGCGUUAUCCGGAUUUACUGGGUGUAAAGGGAGCGCAGACGGCAGUGCAAGUCAGAUGUGAGAGGCUGGGGCUCAACCCCGGAACUGCAUUUGAAACUGUGCGGCUGGAGUGCCGGAGAGGUAAGCGGAAUUCCUAGUGUAGCGGUGAAAUGCGUAGAUAUUAGGAGGAACACCAGUGGCGAAGGCGGCUUACUGGACGGUAACUGACGUUGAGGCUCGAAAGCGUGGGGAGCAAAC
rnacentral:rRNA from 1 species